CUGUGAGGGAGCAUCGCAGUGUCCCGAAUGCCAGCCUCCCGGCUGGGAGAACGAGAAGACCUGCUCCAAGAUGACAUGCUGUCUCCACCAUUUGAACCCGGGUAGAAUGAUACAGACCCUUGUGAAGCAUGCCCAGCUCCUCCUGAAAAUCCUUUCUCAGAGAGUGUGAAACAGGGUCUUGCCAGUCUGUGAGGGAGGAAGCGUCACAGAUAACCCGCACAACCGGGCCAGCCGGGCUCAGCCCCCUGACGGGGGGCUGUAACCGCCACGUAACCAGGCGCCAUUUGCCAGGAGCUGCCCAGGAAGGCGGGGCCAGAUGCCAAGCUUCACCAACCAAUCACUUGCACCUUCCAGGAGUUCUUGCUGACGUACCUGGAUUUAAAUUUCUCAGGGGUGCUCAACACCAGGGCCCUUUUCAUGACUCUUUCUUCCAGAGCAAAGUCAAGGUGAGUCACCCUUCGUCUGGGCUGUCUUCACCACAGGUGAAACACUAAUCACCUCAACUAGGCUAGAAACUCUUCCCGGGUUUGUAGGUGCCUUAUUGUCCUUCAUUUCCUCAUCUGCAAAAUGGGCAAAAUAAUACGUGUAAAGUGUUUAGAAUCCUGCCUAAGUGAGCUCUCAGUAGGUAACAGCCAUCAUUGUCAUUACAGUAAGAUAAAGUCAGUACGUCAGUAUGUGCCUGGCAUCUGGUAGAGCGCCAGGCAUAGGCAGGGCCUCAGCAAUCGCUCUCGUUGAGUAGACGGUGUUGCAGAAAACCACGAGGACUCAGCCUUGCAGGACUGAGGGGGGCACGUUAGGAAGCAGUGGGGAAUCGGUAGAUGGAUGGCACUCCUGGAUCCCCCAGACCGAUCUUACUGUCAGCCUAAGAGCCCAGUAUUUCCUCUUCACUGUGGCCUCCAGGAGAGGAAGAAUGGGGCUCCUGUUUGGGGUACUUUUCCUCCUGUGACAUUUCCACUAUUUUAAAAAGUUGAGGUUUCACAAAACGUCUUUCAUCGAUGAGCUCAUUCUCUCUCGAUGCCGUGCUCCCUGGCUGGGUACCACCAGGUAAUGAGUGGUGGCUAAUUAGGAUGGCGUUAAGCACAGCAGUCAGACUCACUUCAGGAACAGAAUUCCAAUAAUGGAGGAAACAAACCAUUCAUCGUAUGCCACGAGCUUUUCAUUGGUAUAUACAAUGGUUUAUUAAGACAACAAAUACAUCUUCACUUGCAUUUCUGUGUAUACACAGAGACGAUACACUAGUUAAAGCAGAGGAACCCAGUGUUUCUGUACAUGAGAACUACUUUCUUUCUCCCCCUCCCCUUGUCGAGAUGCUCAGCACAUCAUAAAGGCAAUGUUUGGAAACUUAGCACUUAUUAUAUAUAAACCUCGAAUUGAAGCAACAUAAGCAAAAACAUUACCAGGUACACUGGGUACUUUUUCUCUAAUUUAGCUAUUAGAGGCUUACUUCCCCCUUGCAUAGGUCUAAGAAACAGCCCCUCAUAAUCCCCUUCUAGGGGAAAAAAAAGGCCAAAAGCAGUUCUUGUGCAUGUGUUGUGUUGCUUGACCCUGCAACCUGGGUCACAAUAGAUUGGGCUGGGGACUGCUACUUGGCCUACAAGCAGACAUGUAUAGCAUGAGGUGGUCUCGUGCAAGACCUUUGCUUAUGUGAGGCAUUUUCUGUUAAAUGAAGGACCGGAGAAAGCAUUUAGAGCCUUAUUCUGGUCACUCAGGGAGGGGCCGCAUUGGCAGUAGCCAAAAGGCAUGGAGAGAGGGCGUUAAGCUGAAGUCACCAGGCGGCAGGCGGCAUAUGGUAGAGCAGAGCUUAGAAAGAGUGAAAAAUGAGAGCAGAGGAAGUCAGAGACAGAGAAAUAAACGGGACUGGAAGAGUCACCAGGAGAGGGGACAAGGGACAUUUUUUUUCCCUGAAAUGACAGCUACUGAGAGCUGCUCAGGACACUUGAACGUCUGUUGUUUCCUGAAAGGCAACAAGAAGCUUCCAGUUCCACCAGGCCAAGUCUCAAGACACAGCCAGCUCCUGGGGUUCCCUCCCUUCGCGGUGUAGCAUCCUUACAGAAAGACCGCAUGCCUUGGGGGUGGCCUGAGCUCGCCAGACAGAGCCUGGCCUCCCCAGUGCGGUGCCCAGAUUCGCUCGCUCGCCCCUCCCCUUCACACCACUGCCUCCAGGGUCAGCCGGCGCCUUUGGGCAGAGGCUGCAGGGGCUCAGGCCCAAGUACCAAAUGUUACAGACUAAGUGAUGGGGCUGGUGCCUGUUUGAAGGAGCUGGGAGAGUGGGCACCAGCUUCAGCCCGGAAUCCUGAAGUCAGGCAGAGGUCUGGUGGACUCUGAGGUCGCAGUGGAUGUUCUAGCCAGAGUUUCUGCUUCCUUUCCCUGCAGGCAGCUCAGGUCGCAAAGCUCAGCUCAGUUGUCCCCGGCCCCAACUGUACAUUAGAAUCAACUGGGAAACUUUUGAAACAGUGUGGCUGAGGAGGUGUGGCCUCAGACCAGUUAAACCUGAGAUUUAAUCUCCAGAGAUUGGGCCCAGGUAUUGGUAUUUUUUAAAAUGCUCUCCAGGUGAUUCUAAAGUGCAGCCAGGGUUGAGAACCAGCCACUUAACUGCAUUUAAAGGACUCUCUCUAGUUUCCGCCUAGAAUCAGUUUCUCAGUAUCAGUUUCCAUUGACAUGGGCAACUCCUGUGGACAGAGAGGAACUUUUCGGGCACUAGGACCUUAUAUUUGCCCUUCUCCUCAAUCCUUUUCAAUUAUUAGGACUCCCCCCAGCUAUAUUAAGCUGAUACUUAACUAUAGGUAAUAAUGGGCUCAAUCAUCUUUUUGUAAUUCUUAUUAAAAAGUUUCCAUUUGAGUUAAA